CUCCUGACCUCAGUGAUCCACUUGCCUCAGCCUCCCAAAGUGCUGGGAUUACAGGCAUGAGCCACCAUUCCUGGCCAAGACACUUAUUUUUUAUGGAUACAUGAGUUUUGUUUUCUUUUAAUAUAGUUCUCUCAUCCCUGAAAAACCAAGAUGCCUAUAUUCUAAGUGACUUUUUAUUGAAAAUGAUAUAUUUUACCUUAAGUAUAAAACUCUACUAUGAGAGUUUAAGUUGUGUGUGGGUGCGAAUCCCCAUAGAAUUUAAGUGUCCUUGAGUAAUUUAUUAUGAUACCCUUAAUAAAAUGUAUAACUGCAAGUCAAAUUGUGACUUUUACUUGAGUUUGCCUAGGAAACGAUAAGCCUUCCAAUCUGUGAAUUUAGUAUCCCAUUUAAUAUAAUAUGACUGUGGUAUAUGGUUAGACAAUUAAAUUUCAUAGACAUAUGCAUUUGAUGAUUCGAUUUGCUUCUGGUCAUUCUGAGUCUAUUUAUAAGAGUAUCUCAAAGAUUUGGGGUUUCAGAUUUUCAAAUAUGUUUUACUCUGUUGCAGAAAAUUAGAAGAACUGAGCACUCUAUUUUAUAGUUCAGUAGGAUUUUCCCAUCUGUUUAAAGGUUCAGUAACUUUCUUAGAUAGAAUGUGGCUUGCGUAAGAAGAUGCGUUGAUUCUCAAAGCAAGUUAAAUAGACUCAACCGCUGACCUUACGCUGAGUCAUUCCUCCGGUAAUUUUAUCUUUCAUUUGUGUAAGAAAAGCCAGGGGGGAAGAUUGAUUUGUCCUGAGCACUUAAUCUAAAUGAGCCUAUCACUCUUUUAUCACAUAGCUCUACUUUAUUUUAUUGUUUAGAUACACGGUCUCCCUGUGUUGCCCAGGCCAGACAGGAACUUCUGGGCUCAAGUAAUCCUCCUCCUUCAGCCUCUGGAGCUGCUUGGAUUACACAGUAUGAAGAAACCUCAGCUUAUUGAGAUGAAGAUUCUUGCUCGUGGUGAGGUCAUGGAUGGCUGAGCUAGCAUUAGAUUCCAGUUAAUCUGCCUGCAAAAUGAAUGACAAAGACUUCCUGGAGGAAAUGGGCUUUGAAGAAGGGGAACUAUCCAUUCAAAAGAAACUAUCACCAGGAAGAGGCACUGAGGUGGAAAAGAAUAAAGCAGUAGGGAGAAUACUAUUCGUGUAGUUUUGCUACAUGGGGACAUACACAUAAGGCAUGUGGAGGAAUGCAAGAUAGGAAAACGAUUAGAGACAGAUUGUGGCGGACAUCAAGUGCCAUGACAAAAUGAAUGUAUUUUGUUGGUUUUUGAGCAAGAGUGUUGAGCAUUGUCAUCUCCUGCCUUAAAAUUGUUACCUUGCAGUAGUAUUCAGGGAGGAUUAUAAAGGAAACAGGUAGAUAGGAGAGAAAAAGAACCAGAAUUACCAAUCAUGAUUAGAAGGAACAAAAAGGAUAGACAUGAAAGACAGGGUGUUGCUUCAAUUGUUUGACUUUAAAAUCAAAUGAAUAUUGGAGUAAGAAAGAAGUGGUAACUGAAAAUCAAGACACUGGCAACAGAAAUAGUCAGAUGUGGUUGAGGAACAUUAUUUUAGGAAGAUGAGGAAUUGACCUUUACGUUGAGUUUGAAAUACUACUGUGGAAUCCAGAUGGAAUUAUCUAAUGAGCAGUUUGAGAAUCAGUGUUGUAGCUCAGGGGAAAGUUGAAGAUGGAGAAAUAGACUUGAUUUUAGCUGUGUAGAGGGGAAAACUGAGAUACCUAUGGAAGUAAACAGGUGCUAAAGAGGAUGAGUGGGUGUAAAGCAUAUGACAUCAGGACAUUGGAGGUACUACCUCUAGACUUAGAGAUGACCAGUGGCAUUUUCUGACAGUAGUGUGUGACAAACAUCAUGUUUGUCAUGCCUU